GAACGCGAAAGCUCCCUUCGGGGAGCAAGUAGAGUGGCGCACGGGUGAGUAACACGUAGGUAAUCUACCUUUGGAUGGGGAAUAACAACCGGAAACGGUUGCUAAUACCGCAUAAUGCAGCGGCACCUAGUGGUGACAGUUGUUAAAGCGGGGGAUCGCAAGACCUCGCGUCUAAAGAGGAGCCUGCGGCAGAUUAGCUAGUUGGUAAGGUAACGGCUUACCAAGGCGAUGAUCUGUAGCCGGCCUGAGAGGGCGGUCGGCCACACUGACACUGACAUACGGGUCAGACUCCUACGGGAGGCAGCAGUCGGGAAUUUUGGGCAAUGGGCGAAAGCCUGACCCAGCAACGCCGCGUGAAGGAUGAAAUCCCUCGGGAUGUAAACUUCGCAAGAACGGGAAGAAUAAGUAAGAGUUAAUAUCUCUUACGAUGACGGUACUGUUUGUAAGCUCCGGCUAACUCCGUGCCAGCAGCCGCGGUAAUACGGGGGGAGCAAGCGUUGUUCGGAUUUACUGGGCGUAAAGGGCGCGUAGGCGGCCUCUGCAAGUCGACUGUGAAAUCUCCGGGCUUAACCCGGAAAGGUCAGCCGAUACUGCAGGGCUAGAGUGCAGAAGGGGCAACUGGAAUUCUCGGUGUAGCGGUGAAAUGCGUAGAUUUCGAGAGGAACACCUGCGGCGAAGGCGGGUUGCUGGGCUGACACUGGCGCUAAGGCGCGAAAGCUAGGGGAGCGAACGGGAUUAGAUACCCCGGUAGUCCUAGCCUUAACGAUGAAUGCUUGGUGU
rnacentral:rRNA from 1 species